rnacentral:rRNA from 1 species
CCUACGGGCGGCAGCAGUGAGGAAUAUUGGUCAAUGGCCGGAAGGCUGAACCAGCCAUGCCGCGUGAAGGUCAGUGCCCUAUGGGCGUUAAACUUCUUUUGUGCGGGAGCAAUAAUGGUCACGUGUGGCCAGACGAGAGUACCGUACGAAUAAGCAUCGGCUAACUCCGUGCCAGCAGCCGCGGUAAUACGGGGGAUGCAAGCGUUAUCCGGAUUUAUUGGGUUUAAAGGGUGCGUAGGCUGUGAGGUAAGUCAGCGGUGAAAUGCCCCCGCUCAACGGGGUGAAGUGCCAUUGAUACUGCCUGGCUGGAAGGCGGAUGCCGUGGAGGAAUGUGUGGUGUAGCGGUGAAAUGCAUAGAUAUCACACAGAACACCGAUUGCGAAGGCAUCUCACGAAUCCGCGAUUGACGCUGAUGCACGAAAGCGUGGGUAUCAAACAGGAUUAGAUACCCUAGUAGUC